ACGAAACAGUGGCAAUUUCCAUGUUUUUUAUCGAUUUUUCGACAAGUUACAGAUUUCGGAAUUCUUCAAGACUAGAUAGCCGGCUGGUUGCAUGGUGUGUACUGCAGAUAACUUCUCGACUUAAUUCGGCUGAUGUGAUGCUUUAGUUGAUUCGAGAGGCUACAUGUAUAUAAGCCCAGUACGUCGACAUCAUUGAUCCGGCAGUGAACAAGAUAAGUGGUUCAGCCUCCAAGAUGUGUCACCAGAAAUGCAACCGACAUUAUAGACAGGCGUGAUUACUACUCUGAUUUUGGACUGAUGGUAUACUCGUCUUCAAAAUGGACCUGACUAGGAAUGAUGAUGGUGACUUCCCUCCUCAGAAAAAAGCUCGGUUGGAUUCGAAAGUUGGUGCAGGCGGUCAUUAGCGAUAUUUCGGUCGUAAACGCAAGAAGUCCAAGAAAUCCACUGACAAAUCAGGAAAACGUAUAUUCAAUGUCGGCGACACGUGUUUGUUCAGAUUGGACUCAAACGUUUAUCUUGGAACCGUUCUUAGUCAAGUUGAUGAACAUCAUUUCCAAAUUGAGGACUAUACAGGAACAGUGCGCACCUUCAUUUGUCUGUCACUUUGAUUAAAAGAAAGUUAAAGUUGAAACUUCUAUAGCAAGGAAUAUGAAGAUGUGAACUUUGUAUAAUUAUUUUUUGAA